rnacentral:rRNA from 1 species
UACGUAGGGGGCAAGCGUUGUCCGGAAUUAUUGGGCGUAAAGAGCGUGUAGGCGGUCCGGUAAGUCAGCUGUGAAAGUCAAGGGCUCAACCCUUGAAUGCCGGUUGAUACUGCAGGGCUAGAGUCCGGAAGAGGCGAGUGGAAUUCCUGGUGUAGCGGUGAAAUGCGCAGAUAUCAGGAGGAACACCGAUGGCGAAGGCAGGUCUGCUGGGCCAUGAACUGACGCUGAGAAGCGAAAGCAUGGGGAGCGAA